rnacentral:rRNA from 1 species
UACAGAGGGAGCAAGCGUUGUUCGGAAUUACUGGGCGUAAAGCGCACGUAGGCGGCUUUGUAAGUUAGAGGUGAAAGCCCGGGGCUCAACUCCGGAAUUGCCUUUAAGACUGCAUCGCUAGAAUUGUGGAGAGGUAAGUGGAAUUCCGAGUGUAGAGGUGAAAUUCGUAGAUAUUCGGAAGAACACCAGUGGCGAAGGCGACUUACUGGACACAUAUUGACGCUGAGGUGCGAAAGCGUGGGGAGCAAACAGG